AAGUCGUAACAAGGUUUCCGUAGGUGAACCUGCGGAAGGAUCAUUACCAAAAGUUUAAUCCAAAACUCUCAACCCAUGUGCACGAUGAUAUUGUCUGUCUUUGGGGCAAUGGUUUCUUGAAUAAUGUAAAUUGUUCGAGUAAAUUACUUGCCCCACAUUUGUUGAACCCUUUUAUUUUCUUUUUGGCAUUCUAUUUGUCUUAAUAAAAAUGGACAACUUUUAACGGUGGAUCUCUUGGCUCGUG
rnacentral:misc_RNA from 1 species